GAUGAACGCUGGCGGCGUGCCUAAUACAUGCAAGUCGAGCGAACGGACGAGAAGCUUGCUUCUCUGAUGUUAGCGGCGGACGGGUGAGUAACACGUGGAUAACCUACCUAUAAGACUGGGAUAACUUCGGGAAACCGGAGCUAAUACCGGAUAAUAUAUUGAACCGCAUGGUUCAAUAGUGAAAGACGGUUUUGCUGUCACUUAUAGAUGGAUCCGCGCCGCAUUAGCUAGUUGGUAAGGUAACGACUUACCAAGGCAACGAUGCGUAGCCGACCUGAGAGGGUGAUCGGCCACACUGGAACUGAGACACGGUCCAGACUCCUACGGGAGGCAGCAGUAGGGAAUCUUCCGCAAUGGGCGAAAGCCUGACGGAGCAACGCCGCGUGAGUGAUGAAGGUCUUCGGAUCGUAAAACUCUGUUAUUAGGGAAGAACAAAUGUGUAAGUAACUAUGCACGUCUUGACGGUACCUAAUCAGAAAGCCACGGCUAACUACGUG
rnacentral:rRNA from 1 species